GCAAAAAAAGCCUUCAGUAUGAAGGGUCGGUGGAGCCAAGCGGUCAUUGGCUGGAUACAAUCGAAAUCUAAGGCAUCUUCCACUGAGACAGACCGGACCACAGAGCUGCUUGAGCCACAGUAAAAAAAACAUGGAGUUCACAUCAGACUCGAAUACUGACAAACAGUUUGCAGUGGGGAAAUUCCUGAUCAGCAAUACAGUGGAUGCCGUGCCAACUAACUGGCUAGAGAAAACUAACAAGG